rnacentral:rRNA from 1 species
CGUGCCUUUUGCAUAAUGAUCCUACGAGUUGCUCCUCACUGGCGAGGUUAAGUUCUUGAGUAACGGAGCCGCAGCGAAAGCAAGUCCAAAUAGGGCGACUAGUCAGUGGGGGCAGACGCGAAACUUUGUGAUCUAUCCAUGGGCAGGUUGAAGGUUUGGUAAAACCAACUGGAGGACCGAACCCGUUAACGUUGAAAAGUUCUGGGAUGACCUGUGGAUAGGGGUGAAAGGCCAAUCAAACUGAGAGAUAGCUCGUUCUCCCCGAAAUGUUUUUAGGAACAGCGUCAUAUUAAAGAAGUAUCAUAGAGGUAGAGCUACUGAUUGGGCUAGGGGGCUUCACCGCCUACCAAACCCUGACAAACUCCGAAUGCUAUUAUAUAUCUCCGGGAGUGAGGCUGCGGGCGCUAAGGUCCGUGGCCGAGAGGGAAAUAACCCAGAAUAGCAGCUAAGGUCCCUAAUAAGUAGUUAAGUUGAUCAAACGAGGUAGGACUUCUAUAACAGCCAGGAUGUUUGCUUGGAAGCAGCAAUUCAUUUAAAGAGUGCGUAACAGCUCACUGGUCGAGAGGUCCUGCACGGAAAAUAAUCGGGCAUCAAACUACUAACCGAAGCUUUAUGAUUGCCACUUGGUGGUAUAUCGGUAGGGGAGCAUUGAAACUGCAUUGAAGGUGUACGGUGACGUAUGCUGGAGCGGCUUCAAAAGAAAAUGUAGGCAUAAGUAACGAUAAAUAAGGUGAAAAACCUUAUCGCCGAAAGUCUAAGGGUUCCUGAUCAACGUUAAUCGGAUCAGGGUUAGCCCGGUCCUUAGUCAAACCCGAAAGGGGUAGAUGAUGGAAAGCAGGUUAAUAUUCCUGCGCCUGCUAUACAAUGAAAGUGACGGAGAAUGCUAGUCGUAUAAGCUGACGGAAUAGCUGAGUGGAUCCUUCGGGUGAAGCGUAACGAUGAAAGUUCUUCCAAGAAAAGCGAGUAUAGCAGCCGGUACCGCAAACCGACACAGGUAGACGGGAUGAAUAUUCUAAGGCGCUCGGGUGAGCCGUGGAGAAGGAACUAGGCAAAUUGACGCUGUAACUUCGGGAUAAAGCGUACCGUCUUCGGACGGUCUCAGUAAAAUGGUUCAACCAACUGUUUAACAAAAACACAGGGCCCUGCAAAAUCGAAAGAUGACGUAUAGAGCCUGAUACCUGCCCGGUGCUGGAAGGUUAAGGAAGGAUGUUCGGCGCAAGCCAAAGCUUCUGACUGAAGCCCCAGUAAACGGCGGCCGUAACUAUAACGGUCCUAAGGUAGCGAAAUUCCUUGUCGGGU